CAAUAGCGUAUAUUAAAGUUGUUGCGGUUAAAAGCUCGUAGUUGGAUUUCUGUUGAGAGCGGCCGGUCCACCUUUUGGGUGAGUAUCUGGAUUGGUCUCGGCAUCCUCACAACGAAUGUUUCUGCGCUUGAUUGCGUGGUAUAGGCGUUGUGACUUUUACUUUGAGGAAAUUAGAGUGUUUAAAGCAGGCUUUUGCUAUGAAUACAUUAGCAUGGAAUAAUAAUCUAGGACUUCGGUUCUAUUUUGUUGGUUUCUAGUACUGAAGUAAUGAUUGAUAGGGAUAGUUGGGGGUGGCUAGUAUUGGCCGGCCAGAGGUGAAAUUCUUGGAUUCGGUCAAGACUAACUUAUGCGAAAGCAUUCACCAAGGAUGUCUUCUUUAAUCAAGAACGAAAGUUGGGGGAUCGAAGACGAUUAGAUACCAU
rnacentral:rRNA from 1 species